rnacentral:rRNA from 1 species
AUUGAACGCUGGCGGCAUGCCUUACACAUGCAAGUCGAACGGCAGCACGGGACUCGGGCAACUGAGCCCUGGUGGCGAGUGGCGAACGGGUGAGUAAUGCAUCGGAACGUGCCCAGUAGUGGGGGAUAACUAGUCGAAAGAUUAGCUAAUACCGCAUACGACCUAUGGGUGAAAGCGGGGGAUUUUCGGGCAACCGAGAACCUCGCGCUAUCGGAGCGGCCGAUGUCNGAUUAGCUAGUUGGCGGGGUAAAAGCCCACCAAGGCUACGAUCAGUAGCUGGUCUGAGAGGACGACCAGCCACACUGGGACUGAGACACGGCCCAGACUCCUACGGGAGGCAGCAGUGGGGAAUUUUGGACAAUGGGCGCAAGCCUGAUCCAGCCAUGCCGC